CACUCGCGGACACGGGCAUCGCGCCCCGCGGGAGCCGCGGCGGGGACGGGUCUCUCGGUGGCAGCAGAGCCCGCCGCUUGUGAACUUUCAAGCAGAGCUCCAGGGAGAGGCUUUCCGAGAGCGGCCGAGCAAGAUUCAUGCAGCCUCUCGGGGUGUGUGCGCUGCAGCCCGAGGGGCGCUGGGGGCGAGCACCCACCGCUGCCUCUUUGGACACGACGGAUGGCCUUGGUUGGCCGUCCGUCCCAGGAGGCUGCAGUGAAACGGUCAGAAGAGGUCUGUGGUCAGCAGCUGAGAGCCAAAGAACAAAUGAAGCAGGUGCAAAAAUACGAUAUCUGUCAUUAAGACAAGUGUUUCCGUGGGGAAAGGGACCCUGUCCGUUCUUCUGCUCCCCAGCUCCUAGGAGGCACCAGGCUCGUCACCUGCAUUGUCGCGAUCCAAUUGCUAAUCCAUUGUUGCCCACUGUGGGGAAGGGUGGCUUGUAAUUUGGGAUUGAUCCAUGGCAGCCCCAAGAAAUGCUCUACUGGCGUGAUCACAGCCAGCAGGGACGAUGACUGGGGCUGUGCAAGGUGGCAUCACUCAACUGACAGGUGAAGCGGUGGAAGAAGAUUCAGCCACCACAGACUGGGUGCUCUUCCUGCUUCACUGCAGUGUGCUAUGUAACUGUGAAUAAAUUGGAGCUUGGGAAGCAAUUUGCCUCAAAUGCUGUGAAAAGGGCACAAGUUAGAAACCCAGAAUAACUAAGGUUGGCAGGGACCUCUGGAGAACUCCUGGUUCAACCUGCUGCUCAGCCCAGGGCCAACUCUGAAGCUGAAUCUAACUUCACAGUAAGAUAAGGAUACUCAGGCCUAAAUGUAAGAAAACAAGUUUGAAAGACCAUUGAGGAAAGUAAUGACUCCAAGUAUAGGCACCUAACAGAAGAGAUCUGGGCUGGGUAAACACAAGACAAUUUCUGUACAGAAGACUCUGACCAAGGUGGAUGGACAGAUACACAGCCCAAUGAAUCACUCACUGACAAGGACUAAUCAGGCCUUUUAUUCUUAGCACCCAGCCCAGAUGUCCACAGAAGAAAGCCUAAUUAAUAGGUAGCAUUCCUUGUCACAAAGAAAAAAAACUACUUCUGUGGGAAGUUCUGAAGUCAAAAAAAGUGAGUAACUGCCUUUGUUCUAUGAAGAACUGACUAAGCUACGAAGUACAUGUUCAAUUAUUCUGCUCAAAUUUGAACAAUAUAAAAGAGUAGAUUUCAGUAUAGUGUAUUAUCUCUGAUUAUUACAGAGUGCUCUCUGCAGGUAUGGGUAUACUAGCUGGCAUGCAGUUAUGUAAAUAAAUUUGGAAGAGCUGUAAAUGAUUGUCCUGGGUUGCAGUGUAUUCUAUUACCAUCCUCAGGAGCUGUUGAAAUCAGGUGGGGCAGU